AUGAGGCUGCUGGGUCUUGUCCUGUGCCUGGUCACAGCUCCCCAAGGUGUCCUGUGCCAGGUGCAGCUGCAGGAGUCAGGACCUGGCCUGGUGAAGCCCUCGCAGACCCUUUCCCUCACCUGUGCUGUCUCUGGUUACGCCAUCACCAGUGGUUACUGGAGCUGGAUCCGUCAGCCCCCAGGGAAGGGGCUGGAAUGGAUAGCGCAAAUUGAUUAUGAUGGUGAUACUUAUUACAACCCAUCCCUCAAGAGCCGAGUGUCCAUCUCCAGAGACACGUCCAAGAACCAGUUCUCCCUGCAGCUGAGCUCCCUGACCACCCAGGACACAGCCACCUAUUACUGUGCCAGAGACACAGGGCCACUGUCCUCUCUCUUUCCAGGACCCAAUGUAGUAGCCUCCCACCUGAGUGAUGGUGUGGUGAUGGUCUCCCUCUGCCUGACCCAUUUCAGCUAG